CCUACGGGGGGCAGCAGUGGGGAAUAUUGGACAAUGGGCGAAAGCCUGAUCCAGCAAUGCCGCGUGAGGGAUGACGGCCUUCGGGUUGUAAACCUCUUUCAGCAGGGACGAAGCGCAAGUGACGGUACCUGCAGAAGAAGCACCGGCCAACUACGUGCCAGCAGCCGCGGUAACACGUAGGGUGCGAGCGUUGUCCGGAAUUAUUGGGCGUAAAGGGCUCGUAGGCGGUUUGUCGCGUCGGGAGUGAAAACUCAGGGCUCAACCCUGUUCGUGCUUCCGAUACGGGCAAACUAGAGGUAGGCAGGGGAGAACGGAAUUCCUGGUGUAGCGGUGGAAUGCGCAGAUAUCAGGAGGAACACCGGUGGCGAAGGCGGUUCUCUGGGCCUAUUCUGACGCUGAG
rnacentral:rRNA from 1 species